CUGUAGGGAACCUCGUGUUUCAAGCCUUAUGUUACACAACUGCAAUAGGACUUGAGCUACUCUUAAACAAGAGUAAACAUCUAGUUUACGAGAUCCUGAAAUCUCCUUUGCUAGCAGUUUAGAAAGAUCGAUUGGGAAAAUGUGCUUGAGGCAUCCGUCAACUUCAGUCUUGCCAUCAGCUGGAGAAGUCAACUGUAUGGUGUUUCCUUGAAUAAAUUUGCUGGUGUGACUGAAUUCACAAAACACUGACUGAGUCGGAAUGAACUGCUUUUCUUGCUCCAAAAAUAAUAACUUACUACAGGAAAUGCAUUUGUGAGCUUUACCUGGUAAGAACACCAAAUCAAGCUUUACUAUAUCAUUUUUUAGCAGAAUGGAAAUGCACUGAGAGCAAUUGUUUGUGCAAGUCUGUACGUGAAUGAGAAGAGUAACAGAUUGCUGUUGCAGUGUUCAAGAAGGUAACAUGGAUUACUGCAGUCAAAUUUCCAGAACAUUGAAUUUCUAUGUAGAUAGCUGUGUCAGUGACCUAGAGGUCCUGACUGAAGAAUGAUCCUGUGUUGGAGCAAAGCUUUCUGACAAAAUAACUGAUGGCUUCAUGACAAGAACUGUGGACCACAUGAAAGUUCUGAGGAAAACAGGACUUGCAGCUGGAGCUGCUUCUCUUGUUUCAGUAGGAAGCUGGCUUUACUAGUUUGUUUUGCAAAGAACUUUUUUCCUGCAAGCAGGUGUUCCUCGUGGGCUGCACAUCAAGCACUGGCCCCACAGAUGCAGUAUGCAAGUGAAAAGAACCCUGAAGAGAAUAAAAACAGGAGGGAGCUGUGGCAGAUUUGUGAGAAAGGAAGCACACCUUGAAACAGGGGAUGCCCUGGUGACAAUUCUUGCCAAAUGCACUGCGUGUUUUUUGUCCUACUCUGCCUUUUGUCCCUCUCUCAAGAAUUAGCAAGUAAUAUUGCAUUUUGCUUAAUGAGUCUUCUGCUGACCUAAUUGAGGUAACUGAAAUUAUCUGGAAUAGAUGCCUAUGUGUGUAUUCAAUAAAUUUUGUAAUCCUUUGUGCCUCUGAGUUUGUAACUUGCUUGCUUCCGCUCCUGAGGCAUCCUAUCUCUCAGAUUUAUAUAUACCCUGAAUCAGUGGCUUACCUUGACCUUUUUUUUAUCCUGUUUCCUAAUGACCUAAGAAAACUUAGUGUUUCCAAGUAUCCAUAGUAAACACAAACCUAGAUGCAUGCUGCAGAAGCAUUUCACCCACCCAACUGCACAUCAGAAGAUGUCUGAGAAGAAACCACAUACUUCUGUCAGGCAAAAGGAGUUACUACACUUGGUGACCUCUUGUAAGAAGU
rnacentral:lncRNA from 7 species